rnacentral:rRNA from 1 species
UACGUAGGGGGCUAGCGUUGUCCGGAAUCAUUGGGCGUAAAGAGCGUGUAGGCGGCUCGGUAAGUCCGCUGUGAAAGUCCAGGGCUCAACCCUGGAAUGCCAGUGGAAACUGUCGAGCUAGAGUCCGGAAGAGGCGAGUGGAAUUCCUGGUGUAGCGGUGAAAUGCGCAGAUAUCAGGAGGAACACCAAUGGCGAAGGCAGCUCGCUGGGACGGUACUGACGCUGAGACGCGAAAGUGUGGGGAGCGAACAGG